rnacentral:rRNA from 1 species
UUAAGUGCAUGUGGUGGAUGCCUUGGCAGUCAGAGGCGAAGAAAGACGUGAUAGCCUGCGAAAAGCUCCGGGGAGGCGGCAAAUAUCCUGUGAUCCGGAGAUGUCUGAAUGGGGAAACCCACUUACCAUAAGGUAGGUAUUGCAACAUGAAUACAUAGUGUUGCAAGGCGAACGAGGGGAAGUGAAACAUCUCAGUACCCUUAGGAAAAGAAAUCAAUUGAGAUUCCCUCAGUAGCGGCGAGCGAAAGGGGAAGAGCCCAUUAAGUCAUAUAAGUUCUAGUGGAACGCUCUGGGAAGUGCGACCGUAGACGGUGAUAGUCCUGUACACGAAAGGGCUUAUAUGAUGAUGUCGAGUAGGGCGAGGCACGUGAAACCUUGUCUGAAUAUGGGGGGACCAUCCUCCAAGGCUAAAUACUCCUGACUGACCGAUAGUGAACCAGUACCGUGAGGGAAAGGCGAAAAGAACCCCUGUGAGGGGAGUGAAAUAGAUCCUGAAACCGCAUGCAUACAAGCAGUGGGAGCCGGCUUAGUCCGGUGACUGCGUACCUUUUGUAUAAUGGGUCAGCGACUUAUAUUCAGUAGCAAGGUUAACCGAAUAGGGGAGCCGUAGGGAAACCGAGUCUUAAUAGGGCGUUUAGUUGCUGGGUAUAGACCCGAAACCAGGUGAUCUAUCCAUGAGCAGGUUGAAGGUUGGGUAACACUAACUGGAGGACCGAACCCACUGUCGUUGAAAAGCCAGGGGAUGACUUGUGGAUAGGGGUGAAAGGCUAAUCAAACUUGGUGAUAGCUGGUUCUCCCCGAAAGCUAUUUAGGUAGCGCCUCGGACGAAUACCAUUGGGGGUAGAGCACUGUUUCGGCUAGGGGGUCAUCCCGACUUACCAAACCGAUGCAAACUCCGAAUACCAAUGAGUACUAUCCGGGAGACAGACUGCGGGUGCUAACGUCCGUAGUCAAGAGGAAAACAAUCCAGACCGCCAGCUAAGGCCCCAAAAUUAUAGUUAAGUGGGAAACGAUGUGGGAAGGCAUAGACAGCUAGGAGGUUGGCUUAGAAGCAGCCACCCUUUAAAGAAAGCGUAAUAGCUCACUAGUCGAGUCGGCCUGCGCGGAAGAUGUAACGGGGCUAAAACUAUAUGCCGAAGCUGCGGAUGCAUAAUUUAUUAUGCGUGGUAGGGGAGCGUUCUGUAAGCCGAUGAAGGUGGAUUGAGAAGUCUGCUGGAGGUAUCAGAAGUGCGAAUGCUGACGUGAGUAACGACAAUGCGAGUGAAAAACUCGCACGCUGAAAGACCAAGGGUUCCAGUCCAACGUUAAUCGGGGCUGGGUGAGUCGACCCCUAAGGCGAGGCCGAGAGGCGUAGUCGAUGGGAAAUUGGUUAAUAUUCCAAUACUUCUGUGUAAUGCGAUGAGAGGACGGAGANNNNNNNNNNUUCAUCCAUAACAAUAAAGACUUAUAUGGUGUUGAUGCGAUUUGUAGGAUUUUACCGAUCGCAGCUUCAACCUAUUACCGAACUUUAGAUCUCGCUGACAAUCCAGAACAUCGAGCGAAACGAGAUCUACAUGAUAAGCAUCAUGCUGAACAAAUUAAACGAAUUUGGAAGGAAAGUUCAGGUCGAUAUGGUGUACGUAAAGUUUGGCAAAAAUUGAAACGUGAAGGCUAUGUUAUUGCACGUUGUACAGUUGCUCGAUUGAUGCAGAAGCUAGAUAUACAAGGUGUUUGGCGUGGUAAGAACAAACAAACUACCCGCAACCGAGAUGAUCAAAAACGAGCAGAUGAUUUAGUGAAACGUAAUUUUAGUGCUGAUCGACCUGACCAAUUAUGGGUCAGUGACUUUACGUAUAUUCAAACUCAUUCAGGCUGGGUCUAUACCGCCUUUAUUAUUGAUGUGUUCUCACGAGCAAUUGUUGGAUGGAAAGUAUCUACACGGAUGAAUACAGAUAUGGUGCUCGAUGCACUUGAGCAAGCAUUGCACGAUCGAGGCAUGCCAAAGAAUGUGAUUCAUCAUUCCGACAGGGGUGUGCAAUAUCUUUCGAUUCGCUAUACCAAUCGUUUAGAAGCAGCAAAUUUACGAGCAUCAGUCGGUACAACUGGUGAUUCAUACGAUAAUGCUUUGGCUGAAACGGUGAAUGGCUUAUACAAAACAGAGGUGAUUGAAUAUUUAAAAGCAGAUUGGCAAGGUUUAGCAGAUGUACAACUUGCGACACUAAACUGGGUAGAUUGGUUCAAUAAAAAGCGUGUACACAGUGCACUGGGUUAUGUGUCGCCUUUUGAGUUUGAAGCAAUGUACUAUGAUAAGAUUAACCCGUUAGGUCAGGUGGCUUAACUUAAAUAAAAAAGUCUCCGACAAACCCGGUACGGUUCAAUUUUAUAGUAUUUUGCUAUUUCAGUUCUAAGCAGCUAAGAAUCUAUUAAAAUAUAAUCCUAUUGAAAUGAUUCUCUUAUAAAGUAUUCCUUGNNNNNNNNNNAUUGAAUCUGAAAAAGAUUAUCCUUCUACUUGGGCUGCAAUCACAGCAAUUGCGCCUAAGAUUGGUUGUACUCCUGAAACACUUCGUGCCUGGCAUCAAAAGCAUUUAGAUCAGCAAAAUCCUAUUAAAGUACAACAGAUAUCUGAUCAAGAAAAAAUGAAGCAAAUGGAACGUGAAAUUAAAGAAUUAAAGCGUGCCAAUGAAAUUCUACGUAAAGCAGCCGCUUUUUUCGCCCAGGCGGAGCUCGACCGCCCACACAAAUAAUGGUGGAUUUCAUCC